GACGAACGCUGGCGGCGUGCCUAAUACAUGCAAGUCGAGCGCAGGAAACUGACGGAACUCUUCGGAGGGAAGGCAGUGGAAUGAGCGGCGGACGGGUGAGUAACACGUAAGGAACCUGCCUCAAGGAUUGGGAUAACUCCGAGAAAUCGGAGCUAAUACCGGAUAGUUCAACGGACCGCAUGGUCCGCUGAGGAAAGGCGCUUCGGCGUCACCUUGAGAUGGCCUUGCGGUGCAUUAGCUAGUUGGUGGGGUAACGGCCCACCAAGGCGACGAUGCAUAGCCGACCUGAGAGGGUGAUCGGCCACACUGGGACUGAGACACGGCCCAGACUCCUACGGGAGGCAGCAGUAGGGAAUCUUCCACAAUGGACGAAAGUCUGAUGGAGCAACGCCGCAUGAGUGAUGAAGGUUUUCGGAUCGUAAAACUCUGUUGUAAGGGAAGAACACGUACGAGAGGAAAUGCUCUUACCUUGACGGUACCUUACGAGAAAGCCACGGCUAACUACGUGCCAGCAGCCGCAGUAAAAC
rnacentral:rRNA from 1 species